CAGGCCUAACACAUGCAAGUCGAACGCGCCCUUCGGAGUGAGCGGCGGACGGGGACUAACGCGUGGGAACGUGCCCACUAGUGCGGAAUACCCUCGGGAAACGAGAUUAAUACCGUAUGUGCCCUACGGGGGAAAGAUUUAUCGGCAUUGGUAGUCCGAGUUGGAUUAGGUUGUUGGUGGGGUGACAGCGCACCAAGGCUAGAUCCAUAGCUGGUCUGAGACGAGGAUCACCCACACUGGGACUGAGACUGGUCCAGACUCCUACGGGAGGCAUGAGUGGGGAAUAUUGGACCCUGGGGAGAGUCUGAUCCAACCAUGCCGGGUGAGUGAAUAAGGCCUUAAGGUUGAAAGCUCUUUCGGCGGGGAAAGUAAUGACGGUAUCCGGAGAUCAACCCCGGAUAAUUCCUUGCCAGCAGCC
rnacentral:rRNA from 1 species